AGAGUUUGAUCAUGGCUCAGGACGAACGCUGGCGGCGUGCUUAACACAUGCAAGUCGAGCGGUAAGGCCUUUCGGGGUACACGAGCGGCGAACGGGUGAGUAACACGUGGGUGAUCUGCCCUGCACUUCGGGAUAAGCCUGGGAAACUGGGUCUAAUACCGGAUAUGACCUCCUAUCGCAUGGUGGGUGGUGGAAAGAUUUAUCGGUGCGGGAUGGGCCCGCGGCCUAUCAGCUUGUUGGUGGGGUAAUGGCCUACCAAGGCGACGACGGGUAGCCGACCUGAGAGGGUGACCGGCCACACUGGGACUGAGACACGGCCCAGACUCCUACGGGAGGCAGCAGUGGGGAAUAUUGCACAAUGGGCGAAAGCCUGAUGCAGCGACGCCGCGUGAGGGAUGACGGCCUUCGGGUUGUAAACCUCUUUCAGCAGGGACGAAGCGCAAGUGACGGUACCUGCAGAAGAAGCACCGGCUAACUACGUGCCAGCAGCCGCGGUAAU
rnacentral:rRNA from 1 species